AUUGAACGCUGGCGGCAGGCCUAACACAUGCAAGUCGAGCGGGGUUUUCGGACCUAGCGGCGGACGGGUGAGUAAUGCGUAGGAAGCUACCCGAUAGAGGGGGAUACCAGUUGGAAACGACUGUUAAUACCGCAUAAUGUCUACGGACCAAAGUGUGGGACCUUCGGGCCACAUGCUAUCGGAUGCGCCUACGUGGGAUUAGCUAGUUGGUGGGGUAAUGGCUCACCAAGGCGACGAUCCCUAGCUGGUUUGAGAGGAUGAUCAGCCACACUGGAACUGAGACACGGUCCAGAAUCCUACGGGAGGCAGCAGUGGGGAAUGUUUGACAAUGGGCGCGAGCCUGAUCCAGCCAUGCCGCGUGUGUGAAGAAGGCCUUCGGGUUGUAAAGCACUUUCAGUAGGGAGGAAGCGUUGUGUGUUAAUAGUACACAGCGUUGACGUUACCUACAGAAGAAGCACCGGCUAACUCUGUGCCAGCCGCCGCCGUAACAC
rnacentral:rRNA from 1 species